UUGGCGAAAAGUUCCAGCCUAUAAGCUGUUGCAAUUUUUAUUCUGAAACAUACAAAAGGACCUGCUCAAAGGAGAUCUGCAAAGGGAAAAAUGAGAGCUUAUCUUUUUAGGUUAAAAAAGUAGGUUUUGUUUUCACAUGUAGCAAAACACAAAAUGAAUCCGAGCCAUUUUUUAAGCUGAAGAGAGACCUCACACAAGAAUACAGCCAGCAGCAAAGUGCUAAUAUAUGUUUCAUUUUCUUUUCAGGUAGGAAAAUGUUUCACUUCCAUUAUGGAAAAAGGGAUGAGGAGCUGAACUGUUUUAAGAUCAAAUAAUAUAGCUAAACAUUUAAAUAAUUCAUUGCUUGUUGAAGAUCCACGUUACAGCCAAGGGUAAACUGGCUUGCGUUGCUCGCUACCUGACUGCAGAAUUUCUUUAAUGUUUUGGAACAACUGACUGGAAUAUAGAAAGCAGCUCAUUCUGUGGGCGAAGAUGUAUGGAAAUACACAAUCUGGAUUACCGAACAGGCCCGCAAGCAGCACAGCUGGGAGCUGUAGGGACUUUUCAGUGCUGAAUGUAAACGAGCAAAUACAGUGGGUUUUCUCCUUCUGCUGUGCGUGUACAAAGAUCUUCCAAAGGAGGUUUUUGUGAUGCAUCAGACUGGUUCACCUUGAGCUCAUCAAGUUCUUCAAUUAAGCAUGAAUUCUUUAAUAUAUUGUUCUGCCUGUCAUUUCUAGUUAGAUAAUGACAUUGAAUGCUCUGAUGAUAUCAACCCAGUAUUUGAUCCUUCAGUGUCAAGGAUAUGCAACGAAAAUGUAAUAGGCAGCUAGAUUAAAGGAAAAAUAUGCUGCUUGCAAGGAAAUAACCAAUUGGAUUAAGUCAUUGCUGUUUUGAAUGUUGGUAACUAGAUGAAUUUUCAUUUCUCAUGGUUCAUUUUAAAGAGCUAUUUAGGCACCCGACACUCCAUAUUUUAAGGUUAUGUUCCUGUUUUAAAUCUACUUCCUAAUUCACUUUAUUAUUUCAAAAAUGUAUUAUUCCCAUAUUGUGAAACUUGAGGCUCCUUUUACCCGUGUUGUGGAACAAAAGAAAUGGAAAAGAAACAUCUGAAGUAAGAGAAGAUUGUCACAUGAACAAAUGUGCAUAAACUGGCUAUAAAUAAAAGACAGGUUUCACACCAUCAAGGCGGGAAAGUUUCUGUUACAGCUUCUCAGAGGAACAGUGGGGAGCAAGACCCGAACUGUGAGCUUUUUGUGGGGAUUAAUCCUAUCAUGAAAGAAAUGCUACUACUCGGGUGGCUGCAGUGUCAGUCUCACUGUUAAAUAUUUAAGAAGUCAUCCUCUAAAGGUACUUUUUGAAAUAUCAUAUUAGUUCUAGUUUGUAAGUGGUACAAAAUACUAAUUUGAAGUCCAAUUGUACUGCAGGGACAAGUAUGCCUGGCUAGAAUGGUGCAACUCUUACUGAAAUCUGCCACUUUCUGGGAGCUCUCGGGGUAAACCCAGAAUUUACUUAGGUUAUGCCUUCAACCGAAAUUCAAGUUUGUGAGGUGAAAAUUUUCAAGUUAUGAUGUCUGAACAUUUCAAAUACCUAUGAGCCUCUGUUUGUCUUAAUUUAAAUUGUGGGGAUCUCAUUACUCUGAAAAUGCAAGGUUAACUGAUGCAACUCCUCCAAAAAUGGGCUUUGGUUCCUUUGUUAGUAUUAGAAGAUUAAUCAGAACAACGAAUAAACAAAUAUUUUGUAUGUAAGUAAUUAUAAGCUACAGAAAAAUAUUCUUUUAAUUUUCCCUAAAAGAUCAGGCUAAAGAUUGAAGUUAGAACACAUUUCUUGUGGUAACCUGAAUUUAAGUCAUGUGAAUCGAGAACUGUAAGGCUUCCAUUAGCACACACGGAAAGUGGGAUUGGAUCUGUAAAAGUAUUGACAGUACGUCCCGUUCCAAAGUUGUCUUUUUUUUUUUUUAAAUUAAAAAUUAAACAAAACCCUCAAGUGGCUUUUCAGUUAGCUGACAGUGCCAGCACACUUUAAUUUCCAUUAAAACUGAAGUUGCCACACUCUUAAUUUUAAAUGGAAAUAGUGUUCUGCUGAUGUCACUAGUGAGCUUUUUCUCCCAGUAAAAAAUGUUUGUAUUAGAGUGACUUUUGACAGGAAACCCCUGUGAAUAUGUUUAUCUUGGUGAUCUGCUGCUGCUUUAGAUGAAAAUUGCUAUACCAGUCAGCUUGUGGGAGGAUAAAACUUUUUUUUCAUUCUGUCAAUUUAAAUCCAAUGUACGCUGCUAGAUAUUGGAAUAAAUGUGGUUUGUUUCUGCUUGGAAGCCCGUUCUGGGAAGAGGUGUCUCAUGCCAAUGCACAAAGGCUGUUUCUCAUCUUGUUGAUUUUUUUUUUUUUUUUUGGUUGGUUGGUUUUGGGUCUUUGGGUUUUUCGGGGGG